AGGAAAGUUGUCAGGACAGAAUGAAUGAGAGAGCAGAGUGGUGACUGGAGCCACUCAGAGAGAAAGUGAGGAAAAGAAAGGGUGAAGGAAAGAGUGAGGAGUGAGAGACGGAUAGGAGCAGGAGAGAGGUGUUGUCCAGACCAGAAGGGGCCUAUGAAAGUGUUGCAUAGGAACAGUCAACAGUAGAGAAGAAAAGCAGGGAAAAGGAGGAGAACAGGAGAAGAAGGAGAGGAAAUAGAUGAGUGCGGUUGGACGUAGGGAGAUAUUGACACACUCGCUCUUUUUAAUUUCCCACAUCAAAGGGCUGUUUGAAGACACAGCUGGGGAGAGAAGAAA